rnacentral:misc_RNA from 1 species
AAACAAUUAUUCAUAUUUCAGAGGUAGGUAAUGGUUGGCUGUGAUGCAUAUUUAAUGUAAUUUAUUUUUAGACUAUGUAAGAUAAUUCUUUUCAUUCCGUUCGCUAGUUUAAGGCAUCCGUUAUUCCUGACAGUUAGGCUCGUAUCAUGUAAGUUGGGUGCGACAUGUUUUUACUCUCUUCUCGGAUAAAAUCUCGCUGAAUGUGCCCUUAAAAAGGUUUUCAUAUCAGAGUUUAUUGAGUUCAGUUAGUUUCAUGUAGCUUUGCCUUUUUAUUUCUGUUAACUUUCACGAGAAAGAGAACCGGUGUAAGAGUCUUUAAUCAAAUUGACGAAGCGGAACCAUACGUCCAUUUUGUAGCGCUUCCGCCUCUGAUGUUAACAUCCCAUCCUGUUUCUGACUAUAUUGUAAGUGAGGAAUUCAGUUUAGUCUAGAAAGAAAUGAGUAAUCCCUUAAGAAUUUGUAUCGUUAAAACCCUUGAAUGGGUGAAUUGUUUCGAAUUUUCAUCUGUACAUUAUGCUUAUGUUUGUUUUUAUGUAAUUAUGUAGAGAGCAAAUUUGAUGGAGAUGAAAGAGGGGCUUGGUUAAUCAGAAUCGGUUCACAAUGGCGCAUAUUUGUCUUGUAUAUUCGGUUUAAUGUAGGAGUUUUUGUUAGAAAAUGUUGGACAGAAAAGAAUAUUUUACAGUGUUUUAAUUACCUUAAAUAGCAUGACAUUAAUAUAUUCAUUUACAGCUACAUUGUAUAUGUAAUCGUAGGUAUCUAAGGAUAAGUGAUUUUAUAAGUAUACCCACAUUUAUAGCUGUUGAAUCUUUAUUUUAAAUCAUAUUCAUUUAUAAAUAUUCGUAAAAGAUCUAUCAGCUUAUAUUCUCAAUAAGUAGGUAUGGUGAUAUUUUCAUCCAAGAUUCUAUAAAUUAAAAAAAAAAUUAUCAAUUUAAUGAAAAUAUUUUUGAAAAUUUAUAUAUACUAUAAAUUUUUUAUCAAACCAUACAAUAAGAUACAAAUUUGCAACUUCUUGUCAUGGUUUCACAUCUACAACUGAUAUACAUUAUACAUUGUAUGUAGGUUAUGUGAAGGAUGACAGAGAUGUGUGUCAAUACAUGUUUUUAUCUUCCUGUAUUUUAAGAAAACUUUGAAGAUUUCUUCAUGUUCUAUUUUGAAAAUGAACAAAAAAUGU